rnacentral:rRNA from 1 species
AAAAACAUGGCUUCUCGUAAUUAAGUAUAUGGGAAGUCGUACCUGCCCAGUGAAAUUUCAACGGCCGCGGUACUCUGACCGUGCAAAGGUAGCAUAAUAAUUUGCCUUAUAAUUGAAGGCUGGAAUGAAUGGUUUGUCAAGGAUAAGACUGUCUCUAUAAAAUUAUAUAAAAUUUUAUUUUUAGGUGAAAAAGCCUAAAUUUUAUUAAAAGACAAGAAGACCCUAUCGAGCUUAAAAGAACUUUAUAAAUAUUUAUAACUUAUUAGAAAUAUAAUUAUAUAAAAUUUUGGUUGGGGCAACCUAGGAGUAAACAAAGCCUCCUUUAUUUAAAAAACUUAUUUGUUUGGAUCCAAAAAUUUUGAUUAAAAGAAAUAGUUACCGUAGGGAUAACAGCAUUAUUUUUUUUAAGAGAUCAUAUCGAAAAAAAAGUUUGUGACCUCGAUGUUGGACCAGAAUAUCCCAAAGAUGCAGAAGUCUUUAAAGGUUGGUCUGUUCGACCAUUAAAAUUCUACGUGAUC